AGACGUCUACAUUAGAUACCCGGGUAGUCCUAGCCGUAAAUGAUACUCGCUAGGUGUCGGCCACGGUGCGACCGUUGUCGGUGCCGUGGGGAAGCCGUGAAGCGAGCCACCUGGGAAGUACGGCCGCAAGGCUGAAACUUAAAGGAAUUGCGGGGGAGCACCACAGCGCGUGGAGCCUGCGGUUUAAUUGGAUUCAACGCCGGACAUCUCACCAGGGCGACAGCAGAAUGAUGGCCAGGUUGAUGACCUUGCUUGACAAGCUG
rnacentral:rRNA from 1 species